CCCCUUGUUAACCUAUCGGUUUGUGCCUGAUAAAGAUAAUUUCUCUUCUCUUAUUAUUUCAUUGUCCUUUGAUAGAAAUAUAUAGAUUACAAUUGACCAGCUAUUACAGAAAUUCAAAUUACAUACUAUUGUAGUCUAGACCAGCUAUGACAAGAAUUCAAAAUACAUGCUAUUGUGGUCUAGACCAGUUAUAACAAGAUUUCAAAUUUCAUGCUAA
rnacentral:lncRNA from 1 species